rnacentral:rRNA from 1 species
CAGUCGCCACGGGAAUACGUAGGGCGCAAGCGUUAUCCGGAAUUAUUGGGCGUAAAGAGCUCGUAGGCGGUUUGUCGCGUCUGCCGUGAAAGUCCGGGGCUCAACCCCGGAUCUGCGGUGGGUACGGGCAGACUAGAGUGAUGUAGGGGAGACUGGAAUUCCUGGUGUAGCGGUGAAAUGCGCAGAUAUCAGGAGGAACACCGAUGGCGAAGGCAGGUCUCUGGGCAUUAACUGACGCUGAGGAGCGAAAGCAUGGGGAGCGAACAGGAUUAGAUACCCGCGUAGUCCCUGUCUCUUAUAC